GAUUCUACCCUACGGGGAAGGAUGAGAAGCUUCGACUAAGGUUCGACUCGAGCGCCAGCGAGAGAACGUUGCCGCAGGCAACGGCC
rnacentral:sRNA from 1 species